rnacentral:rRNA from 1 species
GCUACGGGAGGCAGCAGUGGGGAAUAUUGCGCAAUGGGCGCAAGCCUGACCCAGCAACGCCGCGUGAAGGAAGAAGGCUUUCGGGUUGUAAACUUCUUUUGUCAGGGAAGAGUAGAAGACGGUACCUGACGAAUAAGCCACGGCUAACUACGUGCCAGCAGCCGCGGUAAUACGUAGGUGGCAAGCGUUGGUCGGAUUAACUGGGUGUAAAGGGAGCGUAGACGGCCAUGCAAGCCAGGGGUGAAAGCCCGGGGCCCAACCCCGGGACUGCCCUUGGAACUGCAUGGCUGGAGUGCGGGAGGGGCAGGCGGAAUUCCUGGUGUAUCGGUGCAAUGCGUAGAUAUCACGAAGAACUCCGAUUGCGAAGGCAGCUCACUGGACUGCAACUGACACUGAGGCUCGAAAGUGUGGGUAUCAAACAGGAUUAGAUACCCCGGUAGUC